AGUGAACGCUGGCGGUAGGCCUAACACAUGCAAGUCGAACGGCAGCACAGUAAGAGCUUGCUCUUACGGGUGGCGAGUGGCGGACGGGUGAGGAAUACAUCGGAAUCUACUUUUUCGUGGGGGAUAACGUAGGGAAACUUACGCUAAUACCGCAUACGCCCUACGGGUGAAAGCAGGGGAUCUUCGGACCUUGCGCGAUUGAAUGAGCCGAUGUCGGAUUAGCUAGUUGGCGGGGUAAAGGCCCACCAAGGCGACGAUCCGUAGCUGGUCUGAGAGGAUGAUCAGCCACACUGGAACUGAGACACGGUCCAGACUCCUACGGGAGGCAGCAGUGGGGAAUAUUGGACAAUGGGCGCAAGCCUGAUCCAGCCAUACCGCGUGGGUGAAGAAGGCCUUCGGGUUGUAAAGCCCUUUUGUUGGGAAAGAAAAGCAGCAGGUUAAUAUCCCGCUGUUCUGACGGUACCCAAAGAAUAAGCACCGGCUAACUUCGUG
rnacentral:rRNA from 1 species